rnacentral:rRNA from 1 species
GGAAUCUUGGGCAAUGGGCGAAAGCCUGACCCAGCGAUGCCGCGUGUGUGAAGAAGGCCUUAGGGUUGUAAAGCACUUUCAGCAGUGAAGAAAUGCCGGGAGCUAAUACCUCCUCGGUCAUGACGUUAACUGCAGAAUAAGUACCGGCUAACUACGUGCCAGCAGCCGCGGUAAUACGGAGGGUGCGAAGGUUAAUCGGAAUUACUGGGCGUAAAGCGCGCGUAGGCGGUUUGAUAAGUGGGAUGUGAAAGCCCCGGGCUUAACCUGGGAAUUGCAUUCCAAACUGUCAGGCUAGAGUAUGGUAGAGGGAGGUAGAAUUUCCUGUGUAGCGGUGAAAUGCGUAGAUAUAGGAAGGAAUACCGGUGGCGAAGGCGGCCUCCUGGACCAAUACUGACGCUGAGGUGCGAAAGCGUGGGGAGCA